GUUGAUCCUGCGGGAGGUUGCUGCUAUUAGGGUUCGACUAAGCCAUGCAAGCCCUGGCCUCGCAAGAGACCGGCAGAUUGCUCAGUAACACGUUGAUAACCUACCUUAAGGUUUGGGAUAACCUUGGGAAACUGAGGAUAAUACCUGAUAGGGGUAGACUUCUGGAACGAGUCUACCUUCAAACGCAAGGCCUUAAGAUGGGUCAGCGGCGGAUUAGGUUGUUGGUGGGGUAACGGCCCACCAAGCCGAAGAUCCGUAGGGGCCGUGAGAGCGGUAGCCCCGAGAAGGACACUGAGAAACAGGUCCUAGCUCCACGGAGUGCAGCAGGCGCGAAAAUUCUACAAUGCACGAAAGUGUGAUAGAGGAACCCUAAGUGCUCUACUUUGUAGGGCUUUUGCCAAGUGUAAACAGCUUGGCGAAUAAGUGGUGGGCAAGACUGGUGCCAGCCGCCGCGGUAACACCAGCGCCACGAGUGGGAGCCACAUUUAUUUGGCAUAAAGCGUCCGUAGCAGGUCUGUUAAAUCUCCUGUGAAAUUGUUGUGCUUAACGCAAUGGCUUGCGGGAGACACUGACAGACUAGGAACCGGGAGGGGUCAGAGGUAUGGGAAGGGGAGCGGUAAAAUGCUAUAAUCCUUCCUAGACCACCUGUGGCGAAGGCGUCUGACCAGAACGGGUUCGACUGUGAGGGACGAAAGCUAGGGGAGCGAUCCGGAUUAGAUACCCGAGUAGUCCUAGCCGUAAACACUGUGAGUUAGGUAUUGCGUAUUCUUCGUGAAUACGCAGUGUCGUAGCGAAGACGUUAAACUCACCGCCUGGGAAGUACGGUCGCAAGACUGAAACUUAAAGGAAUUGGCGGGGGAGCACUACAAGGGGUGCGGCGUGCGGUUUAAUCUAACUCAACGCAGAGAAUCUCACCAGGAGCGACGGCAGGAUGAAAGUCAGUCUAAAGGGCUUACUUGACGAGCCGAGAGGUAGUGCAUGGCCGUCGUCAGCUCGUGCCGUAAGGUGUCCUGUUAAGUCAGGUAACGAGCGAGACCUGUACUCAUAAUUGCCAGCAACUCAGCUUUGAGGUUUGGGCACAUUAUGAGAACCGCCUUGGAAACGAGGAGGAAGGUGCAGGCUACGGUAGGUCUGUAUGCUCCGAAUCUUCUGGGCAACACGCGCGCAACAAUGGUAUGGACAAAGGGAUGCAACUCCGAAAGGAGAAGCUAAACCUCUAAACCCUACCCUAGUACAGAUCGAGGGUUGUAACUCACCCUCGUGACGCUGGAAUCCCUAGUAAUCGGGUUUUAUCAUAGCCCGGUGAAUAUGUCCCUGCUCCUUGCACACACCGCCCGUCAAACCACUCGAGCAGGGUUUAGGUGAGCAUGGAUCCUCGUGAUGCAUGCGAAUCUAAGCUCAGUGAGAUGGGUUAAGUCGUCACAAGGUA
rnacentral:rRNA from 1 species